GACUACGGCUGGCGGCGUGCCUAAUACAUGCAAGUCGAACGGGAUUCUUUGAUCAGUUUGCUGAGAGAAGGAUCUAGUGGCGGACGGGUGAGUAACGCGUGGGAAUCUGCCUCUUACUGGGGGAUAACAGUGGGAAACUACUGCUAAUACCGCAUAAGAUCUUCGGAUGAAAGGUGCAACUGCACCGGUAAGAGAUGAGCCCGCGUCCCAUUAGCUAGUUGGUGAGGUAAAGGCUCACCAAGGCGACGAUGGGUAGCCGGCCUGAGAGGGUGAACGGCCACACUGGGACUGAGACACGGCCCAGACUCCUACGGGAGGCAGCAGUAGGGAAUCUUCCGCAAUGGGCGCAAGCCUGACGGAGCGACGCCGCGUGAGUGAUGAAGGCCUUCGGGUCGUAAAGCUCUGUUCUUGAGGACGAAUAAGCCAGGGAGUGGAAAGCCCUGGUGAUGACUGUACUCAAGGAGAAAGCUCCGGCUAACUACGUG
rnacentral:rRNA from 1 species